GAACCCUAUGGAUUUGCAAAUGAUCAUAAAAUAUGUCCGGCAGGAUCCACGAACAUGCUGAAAGUGCUAACAUGUUGGAAAUAGUGUUCUUGAAGGCGUAACCCUCAAUUUUUCGAAAGUGAUCCGGAACUGGACAAAGUGAUCCGCAACUGGCUUUCAGGUGCAACACAAAUCAUCAUUCAGUUGAAUUCUAUAAAAUGAAGACACUAAAAACUUGUUGGAUUAGAAACUCUUUUCUCAUUCAGUGUAUUAUUAAUAUUUCGACUAAACUGAUGACAACUGUUCAAAUCCCGUCAAAGCUGGCUGACACUUUCAUUCAUCUUUCUCAUUUAUCACCGUCUGCCCAUCAUUCUCAUUAUCUUAAUAUAAAAACCUUUCCAACUUCUCCCACGAUUUCAUUUUUUUCCCGACCGUCUGUCAGUUUCCUCUGUCUUCAGAGUUGUCCACACUAUCGCCUAUUUGUCUCAACUCCCUGUACUUCCCUGCACCCACCUGGCAUCCUCAUCCUCUGUCGCUAAUAAAGCUGGUCUGACCCAUAGCAUGGGAGUAUAGUAGGUGGUUACAGGUGCCUCUUAACAAUGCCAGAAGUAACCAUUGAACUGUCUCUGAAGUGGUCAGACUAAACCCACAGAUAAAGCUGAUGGGAAAUGGCAGGUAUGUGGCAUGGACAGCCACAUAGAGACAAGCUCCUGUUGUUGUUGGAGAGAUAAAGACUGGGAUGUGGAGGUGGACAGCGAAAGAAGAUAGGAGGAGCAGCCUCUCCCUACAGCAUUAUGCAAUAGUUGAACAGCACUAUAUAUGCACAUUGUAUAUAAUACGUGAUGGCCAUACCUUACGUGUGGAUUACCAUUAGAUUAAUUCCUUAUUAGUGUUACAGCAUAUUAGGGUACUACAGAGUGACAAUGCAAAUAUUCUAGAAUCAACAAGUAAUUUGCAAUGUACAUCUAACAAAAUGCUAGAAUUUAGCAUAGGUACUUGAUGAAAGAAAAAUAAACGAUUUCCUUAUGAUAGAGUUACUGUAUAUUUAGCCACUAUGAUACGGUUACUGUAUAUGUAGCCAUUAUCGACAUUGUAGACGAGUAUGUGGAAGUUACUUUGUUACUAGUUCGUCAAGAUAAACGUUUCAGCUCGUUAUUUAUCAUUGUGAUGUUUACUGUCACCAUUGUCAUAAUGUUAAAAAAAGGGACCGUAGAUGUUUACCUUGGUGAACGUUAUACCAUCUCAUUAUGAAAUAUACCAUCCAGGGCUUCUAGAAUUUUUAUACAAUCCACUACCCAUGGGAUCACUGAUUUUAAAAAUUUACUACUCACAAUUAAAAAUUCACUAGCCCUAUUUUACUUUUAAGUUAAUACAAUUUUACUAAAUAAUAGUAAUAAUCAGAUAUGUCAACUAAAUAGGAAGAUAGAGC